rnacentral:rRNA from 1 species
UACGAAGGGUGCAAGCGUUACUCGGAAUUACUGGGCGUAAAGCGUGCGUAGGUGGUGAGUUAAGUCUGUCGUGAAAGCCCCGGGCUCAACCUGGGAAUGGCGAUGGAUACUGGCUCGCUAGAGUGCGGUAGAGGAGAGUGGAAUUCCCGGUGUAGCAGUGAAAUGCGUAGAGAUCGGGAGGAACAUCAGUUGCGAAGGCGGCUCUCUGGGACGGUACUGACGCUGAGACGCGAAAGCGUGGGGAGCAAACAGG